AUUAUAAGACAAGAAAAUCAGUUUCAAAACCACAUAUCAUGGAGGGCAAGAAGGUUACAGAUUUGUUCUUUGUAUUAGUUUUGGUCUUUUCUCUGUUUCUAUGUUCUGUUCAUUCAUGUAAGACUGAUGGCGAGGAAUGUUCCACGGACCCAGAUAGUGACGAUAGAUGCUGUAAUGAUGAAUUACAUUUAAAAUGCAGGGGUAUUGAUGCAGUGUCAGUGCCUUGGCCUUUUAACAUCCCCAGGAUAUCAUUGUAGCCGUUUAUGUUACAACGUCGGUGAAGGUUGUAUUGCUGGCCAGUGCUGUUCUGGGGCUCAUUGUAGUGGUUGGUUUUCAGGGAACUGUGUAUCUGACUAAUUUGUAUCACAGUUAUUGAAGGCAUGAGGGAUGAAUCUGCUUACACGAACGUAUAUAUUGAUAGCAGUGUGUGGUCAAGCGAAACAAACAACUCUAUGUACUAGAUCAAACAUGAUCACUUUCUUGAUAAUUUCUGUACGUUUUUCUUUUUAUCGCGAGGGUGUGUUAGCUUAAGUUUUUAAACUAAAAUACUUCUAUGUCUGUACUUGUUUUUUCAUUUUUGUAAUGUGAAGGUGUGUUGUUACCUUGAGUUCUUAAACUCAUAAUGUUGAUUUUUUGUGUGUGGCUCUUGAGCCUGUAUCGUUUAAUCCUGGUCGGGUUAUGAUAUUAUUUCUUUGAACAUUUUAUGUUUUGAAAAUUAUAUCGAUUGUUUUUGGCAACCGCAUACUGAGAUGGCAUAGACAAUUGUCCUCACUUUUCUCUCUCCACUCUAGCACCUCUUCUCCUAAAACUUGAAACUCAACCGGAUUAAAGUUUUCCUGCUCAGAUUUGGUCUUUAAAGACCAGAUCUGAGCAGGUUAAUGUUAGUUGUUAUUAUUCUUUUAGUCUUUGCUUUGGGUUUUCAUUUUAUAUUUUAAAGUUGCAGCUUUAGAUCUAUGAUUAUUUGGGUUUCCAUGGGGUUUCUUUCUAUCCUUAAUUAGCUUAAUGGUGUUGUGGUUUUCUUCUACACCUUCGUUUGCCUUCCUUUUCAGCAUCAUAUUCAGUCAAAACCUUGUUUAAAAUCUAUCCUAACUCAUCUAGAGCGGUUUCAAUGGUGGUUGAUAGAUGUGAGGUUUGAAGAAGGAGUUACAGUGGUGGUGGAGUCUCAAAUUGCAGCUUCUUUCAAGAAUAUAAUUGGAUUCUUCUGGUACAUGUUUAGUUGAUGAAAGCAGUAGCGCCGGAUUUCAUGAUAAUGUUUGAUUAUGAAAGAUGAUUGGUUGGCAGUUACCUAAAUCUCCGGUUUGAAAUGUUCUUAGCCAAGAAGCCAUGUCGGACCAAGCUUUUAAGGUUUUCCAGAGAGUAUUGCAAGGGUUUUAUCCAUUUUUUUCUUUGGCUUUCUAUCUCUUCUUCAUUUGGGUGUAUCAAUGGCAAAAGAGGUGGUAGUUCUGCAAAGUGUUGGUGAUUUCCAGGUCUUCCAGCGCCGGCGGCGGCUGUCGUAUGCAACAUUUUAGGGUUUCUACUCAUUUUCUGAAAUGAGAUUGUUUUAGGGUUUGACAAUUGAUGUAUUUUGGGUUUGGUCUUUCCAUCCGGGUCUUCUCACAAUUACUGUGAUUAGAGUUUCUUAGGCCUACCAAUUAAUUUGGUUAGGAUUUUGGGUUUCUUAAUAUCAAUGUACCGGUACUACUACAUGUAAUGUGGGGUGUACCAUUUCCAAUUUUUAUAUGAAUAUAUAAAAUUAUUUACCCAGCAAAAAAAAUAAAUUAUAUC